CACGCCUCCGGAAACGCCCAUUUUAUUUCGCAGUACUGAAACCCCUGGACUUUAGUAAACACCAGUGUGGAAACGCUGCUCAGAUCUUUCCUCUUAUUAGUUUAUAAUAUCUCACUGAAGUGAUAUCUGCAUUAAUACGGUUCUGUUCACAUCGUGAUCAUCAUCAGCGGUCAUGUCCUCCGGUUCUCUUCUGCUGGUUCUGCUGGUUCUCGGCUGCCUUCAGUCCUUCACAGAGGGCCAGGGUAAGAUAAAGUUCACCUUUUCAACUUUAUAACAUGUCGCUUUGUACAUAUUAUUAUCUGCACUAAGUAGACACUAGUAAGAUAGUUGACUUGUAGUAGAACGUUAAAACGUCUAUACCGGAGUCAUUACUCACUAACACUCCUCUGGUUUAUAAUGAUGCUGAAGACGACCAGGCUGCUGAGAAUAACCAGAGUUAAUAAACCACUGUGUGUUUGUCGUGCUGUUACAGUAAAAUACUGACUGACAACCAUGAAGAUGAUUGUUUUCCUUUCAUUUAUGAAAGAACAUCAGCACCAUGGUUUCAUUUAAAUAUACACCAGGCAGCAUCUCUAACAGAUAUAAAAUCACCUCAUGUUUACAAAGCCAUGACUGAUUCAGUAAUGAUUUUCCCCUGCAGUGGCGAACACACCAGAAGAAUGCUGUUUCAAAUUCCAGACGAUUAAAAUCCCUCUACGACUGAUUAAGGAGUAUAAAGAAACUUCGGCUGGCUGUACAAAAGCUGGAAUCAAGUUUACCCUAAACAAUGGUCGUCGUGUGUGUGCAGACCCUGGACUUCUGUGGGUGAAGAAUUACAUGAAGAAAAUUGACCUGCGCUUUUUUUCAGAGCCGAUCCAACCUCAAAAUAAACGUUAAAUCCUCUCUCUGUUAAUAACAAGUACAUUUUUUUAACAAAAUGUACUUUUUUACAUUUCAUUUGCUGUAUUUGGACAGGAGGAAUAAAUCUUUU